rnacentral:rRNA from 1 species
GAUGAACGCUGGCGGCGUGCCUAAUACAUGCAAGUCGAGCGAACAGACGAGGAGCUUGCUCCUCGGACGUUAGCGGCGGACGGGUGAGUAACACGUGGAUAACCUACCUAUAAGACUGGGAUAACUUCGGGAAACCGGAGCUAAUACCGGAUAACAUGUUGAACCGCAUGGUUCAACAGUGAAAGACGGUCUUGCUGUCACUUAUAGAUGGAUCCGCGCCGCAUUAGCGAGUUGGUAAGGUAACGGCUUACCAAGGCAACGAUGCGUAGCCGACCUGAGAGGGUGAUCGGCCACCCUGGAACUUAGACACGGUCCAGACUCCUGCGGGACGCAGCAGUAGGGAAUCUUCCGCAAUGGGCGAAAGCCUGACGGAGCAACGCCGCGUGAGUGAAGAAGGUCUUCCGUUCGUAAAACUCUCUUAUUAGUGAAGAACAAAUGUGUAAGUAACUAUGCACGUCUUGACGGUACCUAAUCAGAAAGCCCCGGCUAACUACGUG